GUGGAUUUUCCUUCCUGGAAGGCCAAGACUGGGAAUGUCCUGCUGGUGCCUCAGGGCCUGGCUGAACAGGGCUUGUCAGAGAUGCUGCCAGGGCACCGACAGCCCUGCUCCUCACAGGGCACCUCUGUCACCCCGUCAGCUCCGAGGGGCUGCCUGGGGACAGGUGCCCACUCCCCCAUGGCCCCUGGCACGGGCCCAUCCUGCCCAGGGCCAGCGCUGGCCUUGGCUCAGGGCCAGGGCCAUGGCCCAGGUGCUCUGGGAGGGCUCAGGGGCUGCAGGUGUGACAGGAUCAGGGGCAGGGCAGGGCACGUUCCCCUCUGGACACUGCUCUGGGGAUGGAGCUGGGACGGGUCUGGCACCUGCAGGGAAAGGGAUCUGGGGCUGUGCGGAUGUGGGAAUUGUCACCGCUGAGCCAUGGCCCAGGCCUCAGCCUUGGCUGCAGGUGAUCAGCAUGGCCCAGGGCUCCCAGUGUCCCCGGGACGGGAGAUGCCGAUGCCCCAGCUGAUGACAUGUCCCUGGUUCCCCUUGUUCCCCACAUGUUGGGUUUGGGGCCGGGCUCCGCUCUGGGCUGUCCCACAGGGAAAGCUCUGGGAGGGAAGGGGCAGCAGGAGAUGGGGGAUCUGGCUCUGGGGGCUGUGGGAGGAUGGAUUGUGUUGCACUGGGGGCUGUCCCCACAGGGUCCCCAGGUGCCUUUGGCUCCCUGCCUGCCCCCCUGCCCCCCCAGGUGCCUGGGCCCCUCCAGGGGCAGCUGCCCCGGGCAGGAAACUGGAGGGAUGCCGGGCAAGGGGGCUGGACCCGUGCCACAGCUGGGCUGGGGUGGAAUCUGGGCCAGGGCUGGGCUUGUGGCCAGGGCUGGGGGCUGUGCCAAGCCGGGCUUUGGCCUGGGGGCUGGCAGGGAGGGUGCAGGGAGGAGUCCCGGCAGGGAUAAAGGUGCUCCUCACCUGCUGCAGCCUCACCCAGCGCUGCCCGGAGCCAGAGGAAGAUGAAGGUGGCUGUGCUCAGCGUGGCCCUGCUCUUCUCCAUCCUGCUGUGCCCCCCGGCUCAGGCCCAGGCACCCCCGGAAGAAACCCAAGAUGAUCUCGUGAAGGUGAGUGGGGUGCUGGCAUUGGAGGGCAUCCCCUCAGGGGGCUGGGGGGCAGUUCAGCUCCCCCAUCCCUUGCUGGCACCUGGGACAUCCUCGUGACCAGUGAGGUCUCCUGGUCUCUCUGCAGGUGGAUUUAGGCGAUGGGGACGUGGAUGCGGACGUGCCUCUGGUGGGUACCACGAGUUCUGCUGGGCUCAGACCCUCCCCUUGCAUGGCCACCAGAGCCCAGGCCAUCCCAGUUUGUCCCAGCCCAUCCCAGUGCCCCCAGUGUGUCUCUAACACUGCCCUUGUCCCCAGGAAAAUCUGGAUGAAAGGGUGAAGGAACUUCUGCGGCUGAAGCGCGCCGUGGCUGCCUCUCUGAGGGUCUAGGUGAG
rnacentral:lncRNA from 1 species